rnacentral:pre_miRNA from 14 species
AUUUCAUAAUGGUACACUGAAAGAUCCCUGAAGAGAGACCCUUACUCAAGUCUCGGGAAGUCGCGGACCCCAGACACAGAGAGACCA